rnacentral:rRNA from 1 species
AUUGAACGCUGGCGGCAUGCCUUACACAUGCAAGUCGAACGGUAACAGGUCUUCGGAUGCUGACGAGUGGCGAACGGGUGAGUAAUACAUCGGAACGUGCCCGAGAGUGGGGGAUAACGAGGCGAAAGCUUUGCUAAUACCGCAUACGAUCUCAGGAUGAAAGCAGGGGACCGCAAGGCCUUGCGCUCACGGAGCGGCCGAUGGCAGAUUAGGUAGUUGGUGGGAUAAAAGCUUACCAAGCCGACGAUCUGUAGCUGGUCUGAGAGGACGACCAGCCACACUGGGACUGAGACACGGCCCAGACUCCUACGGGAGGCAGCAGUGGGGAAUUUUGGACAAUGAGCGCAAGCCUGAUCCAGCCAUGCCGCGUGCAGGAUGAAGGCCUUCGGGUUGUAAACUGCUUUUGUACGGAACGAAAAGACUCCUUCUAAUAAAGGGGGUCCAUGACGGUACCGUAAGAAUAAGCACCGGCUAACUACGUGCCAGCAGCCACCGUAAUAC